rnacentral:rRNA from 1 species
AACGCUGGCGGCAGGCCUAACACAUGCAAGUCGAGCGGUAGCACAGAGAGCUUGCUCUCGGGUGACGAGCGGCGGACGGGUGAGUAAUGUCUGGGAAACUGCCUGAUGGAGGGGGAUAACUACUGGAAACGGUAGCUAAUACCGCAUAAUGUCGCAAGACCAAAGUGGGGGACCUUCGGGCCUCAUGCCAUCAGAUGUGCCCAGAUGGGAUUAGCUAGUAGGUGGGGUAACGGCUCACCUAGGCGACGAUCCCUAGCUGGUCUGAGAGGAUGACCAGCCACACUGGAACUGAGACACGGUCCAGACUCCUACGGGAGGCAGCAGUGGGGAAUAUUGCACAAUGGGCGCAAGCCUGAUGCAGCCAUGCCGCGUGUGUGAAGAAGGCCUUCGGGUUGUAAAGCACUUUCAGCGGGGAGGAAGGCGGUAAGGUUAAUAACCUCAUCGAUUGACGUUACCCGCAGAAGAAGCACCGGCUAACUCCGUGCCAGCAGCCGCGGUAAUACGGAGGGUGCAAGCGUUAAUCGGAAUUACUGGGCGUAAAGCGCACGCAGGCGGUCUGUCAAGUCGGAUGUGAAAUCCCCGGGCUCAACCUGGGAACUGCAUUCGAAACUGGCAGGCUAGAGUCUUGUAGAGGGGGGUAGAAUUCCAGGUGUAGCGGUGAAAUGCGUAGAGAUCUGGAGGAAUACCGGUGGCGAAGGCGGCCCCCUGGACAAAGACUGACGCUCAGGUGCGAAAGCGUGGGGAGCAAACAGGAUUAGAUACCCUGGUAGUCCACGCCGUAAACGAUGUCGAUUUGGAGGUUGUGCCCUUGAGGCGUGGCUUCCGGAGCUAACGCGUUAAAUCGACCGCCUGGGGAGUACGGCCGCAAGGUUAAAACUCAAAUGAAUUGACGGGGGCCCGCACAAGCGGUGGAGCAUGUGGUUUAAUUCGAUGCAACGCGAAGAACCUUACCUGGUCUUGACAUCCACAGAACUUUCCAGAGAUGGAUUGGUGCCUUCGGGAACUGUGAGACAGGUGCUGCAUGGCUGUCGUCAGCUCGUGUUGUGAAAUGUUGGGUUAAGUCCCGCAACGAGCGCAACCCUUAUCCUUUGUUGCCAGCGGUCCGGCCGGGAACUCAAAGGAGACUGCCAGUGAUAAACUGGAGGAAGGUGGGGAUGACGUCAAGUCAUCAUGGCCCUUACGACCAGGGCUACACACGUGCUACAAUGGCAUAUACAAAGAGAAGCGACCUCGCGAGAGCAAGCGGACCUCAUAAAGUAUGUCGUAGUCCGGAUUGGAGUCUGCAACUCGACUCCAUGAAGUCGGAAUCGCUAGUAAUCGUAGAUCAGAAUGCUACGGUGAAUACGUUCCCGGGCCUUGUACACACCGCCCGUCACACCAUGGGAGUGGGUUGCAAAAGAAGUAGGUAGCUUAACCUUCGGGAGGGCGCUUACCACUUUGUGAUUCAUGACUGGGGUGAAGUCGUAACAAGGUAACCGUAGGGGAACCUG